CUUCCGCCGGCGACCGGCGCACGGGUGAGUAACACGUAUGCAACCUGCCCCUGUCAGGGGGACAACCCGCCGAAAGGCGGGCUAAACCCGCGUACAUGCCACCGGGGCAUCCCGGAGGCAGGAAAGGCUUCGGCCGGACAGGGAUGGGCAUGCGGCGCAUUAGCUAGUCGGCGGGGUAACGGCCCACCGAGGCGACGAUGCGUAGGGGUUCUGAGAGGAAGGCCCCCCACACUGGUACUGAGACACGGACCAGACUCCUACGGAAGGCAGCAG
rnacentral:rRNA from 1 species